rnacentral:rRNA from 1 species
AUGAUCACUCACGCGUAUCGAUCAGCGAUGGAGCCUAUCAUUGGAAACAAUGCGCCGGCGACCCUGGAUGCCGCUGCCCCCAACCCCAAUGAGGCUGCCCUCGAGCUCCACGAUGCUGUGGCCGACCCCCAGGAGGAUUUGCCCGCACCCCUGCAUCUUCUGCCCCCACCACGGCAUUUCGUGGAAGAUGCUCUCGAAUAUAUAUUCGGCUUUAUGAACGGCGUUCAUGAUGAGCAGACACUAGACUCAAUCUGGAUAAGAAGCGAUCCACCGUACCGGAUCGAAAUCAGCCUCAGAAUGCUGAAAGACACACUAUUUGUUACUUCAACAAGCCUACAUCCCGACUGCUUCAAUCUCGCUGUUCGAAAGCUUGCGAGCGCUGAAGUAGAGAGGCAUGCAGGCACCAACAUGGUUGGAGGAAAACAUUAUUUUGACUUGCAGUUUCAUGCUCAAUCACGGGCUCUAAGGUAUUCCUGGAUGCCGCAAGGGCAGCGCACCUCGGUGCUGAUCAACAAUGCUGUUCUACAGCCCUUUCCUAGAUAUGAUGUGUUCAACUCCACAAUUUAUCUACUUCCGUUGUCUAUCCCGGAUUCCUCGUAUGGUCUACUCAUGGAUCCAAUUAUGCUCAGGAGCCAAGUGGUAGUCCAGAUGCUCAUGGUGAAAGACAAUCUAGCUGCUGGAAACAUCCCUCAGGAGAUUAUGGCGGCCUUGAGGCGCUCGCCUUUGGGCGGUUAA